UCUUGGCACGAAAUCGUCUGAUGAAAAUCCGAGGUGCCCGACGCAUAACAUUUUGAACGUGCCACGGAGGAUCAAGGCAAAAAACGAGAGCAAAAAAUGGUGCACGCUGAAGGCGGAAAUGAAGCAUGAUCUGGCUUGCAUCUGGUCAUGAAGAAAUUGCUGACACGUUAGUUGCAAUCCACCUCCACCAACAGACAUUUUGACACCACUUUUAAAUCUGCCCUCAAAGUUACAACCUGUGCUUCGAGGGUGGAAAACAAAGAUCGCCAUUCCGAUUAGCUGCUAUCUCCCAGUUCAAGCACUUUUGUGUCUGGACACUGGUUCCUGUGGAUGGGGUGUUACAAGCUUUACUGUCUGAUAUAGAAGGUACGUUACAUUAGUUCAGUUAAUUUGUCUUUUGCACAUUUUUGUUACUGUUAGCUGGAUUACUGUUGGACAUACAAUCCUUUGACACACCGAAGCUGAUGUCGCCUCUGAUAACAUUUUAGAAUUUUCAGUGUCAUCAACGUCCAUUGAGGAAGGUGCCUUUACUAUCUGUGAAUCUUCAUCUGAAGAAUAGCCCAGAAUUCAUGUUAGCAUUGUCUACUCUUAUUAAUUCACUGUCUGUUUUCUGAGAGCUAAGAAAAAUGGAAACU